rnacentral:rRNA from 1 species
AACGAACGCUGGCGGCAGGCCUAAUACAUGCAAGUCGAACGAGAAAGUUCUUCGGAAUGAGUACAGUGGCGCACGGGUGAGUAACACGUGGGUGACCUACCCUUUAGCGGGGAACAACAGAGAGAAAUUUCUGCUAAUACCGCAUACGUUGUGCAAAUUUGGAAAUAGCACAAGAAAGUGGGCUUCGGCUCACACUAAAGGAUGAGCCUAGGUCGGAUUAGCUAGUUGGUGGGGUAAUGGCUCACCAAGGCGACGAUCCGUAACUGGUCUGAGAGGAUGAUCAGUCACACUGGAACUGAGACACGGUCCAGACUCCUACGGGAGGCAGCAGUGGGGAAUAUUGGACAAUGGGCGAAAGCCUGAUCCAGCCAUGCCGCGUGUGUGAAGAAGGUCUUCGGAUUGUAAAGCACUUUAAGUUGGGAGGAAGGGCAGUAAGCUAAUACCUUGCUGUUUUGACGUUACCGACAGAAUAAGCACCGGCUAACUCUGUGCCAGCCGCCGCGGUAA